UACGGGGGGGGCAAGCGUUGUUCGGAAUUACUGGGCGUAAAGGGCUCGUAGGCGGCCAACUAAGUCAGACGUGAAAUCCCUCGGCUUAACCGGGGAACUGCGAUUCGUGAUACUGGAUGGCUUGAGGUUGGGAGAGGGAUGCGGAAUUCCAGGUGUAGCGGUGAAAUGCGUAGAUAUCUGGAGGAACACCGGUGGCGAAGGCGGCUCUCUGGACCGUAACUGACGCUGAGGCGCGAAAGCGUGGGGAGCAAACAGG
rnacentral:rRNA from 1 species